GACGAACGCUGGCGGCGUGCCUAACACAUGCAAGUGGAGCGACGAACCAGACUUCGGUCUGGGGCCAAGCCGCGAACGGGUGAGUAACACGUGGGUAACCUGCCCCGAUGAUCGGGACAACCCGGGGAAACCCGGGCUAAUACCGAAUGUGGUCGCGGUCCGUGAGGACCGUGACGAAAGGAAGCUUCGGCCUCCGCAUCGGGAUGGGCCCGCGGCCCAUUAGCUUGUUGGUGGGGUAAUGGCCUACCAAGGCAUCGAUGGGUAGCUGGUCUGAGAGGACGAUCAGCCACACUGGGACUGAGACACGGCCCAGACUCCUACGGGAGGCAGCAGUGGGGAAUCUUGCGCAAUGCGCGAAAGCGUGACGCAGCAACGCCGCGUGGGGGAAGAAGGCUCUCGGGUCGUAAACCCCUUUCAGUUGGGACGAAGCUUCGCCGGUGAAUAGCCGGCCGGAGUGACGGUACCUUCACAAGAAGCCCCGGCUAACUACGUGCCAGCAGCCGCGGUAAAAC
rnacentral:rRNA from 1 species